AUAUGACUGAGAGCGUUGUCCAAACACUCCUUGAACUCCAACAGCUUGGGUCUAUGACCUGGGAAGCCUGUUCCAUGCCCACCAUCCUCUGGCAAAUAUCCUUUCCAUAAUAACCAAGCUGCCCCUCCCCUGACAUAGCUCCAUGCUGUUCCCUUGAGCCCUGUCACCAUCCCCAGAGAGCAGAGUUCAGAGCUACCCCUCCAUUCCCCUCAUGAGGAGCUGUAGGCUACUGUGAGGCCUCUCAGCCUCCUCUGCACCAGGCUGAGCCAACCAAGAGACCUCAGUGACUCCUCACACACCUUGCUCUCUAAACCCUUUACUGUCUUUGUAGCCCUCCUUUGGACACUCUCAAAUAGUUCUAUGUCCUUUUUGUACUGUAGUGCCCCAAACUGCACACAAUAGUCAAUGUGAGGCCCCACCAGUGCAGCGGAGAGCAGAACAAUCCCUUCUCUCGACUGGCUGGCAGUGCUGUGCUUGGUGCUCCCCAGGGUUGCCCUUCCUGGCUGCCUGGGCACACUGUUGACUAAUGAGGGAUACUUGCUGUUGACCAAGACUUUAGGGGCAGGUGUGCAGUUUUGGGCAGAUCUAGCAACGAACAUGACAGGCACAGCUAAUAUUAGCCAAACACUGAAGUUCUUUUUUAGUAAUUCUUGUUUAAGAUAAGUGACAUAGACCAUGUCUUAGAGAGCCUUUAUUUAUAGUACUCUUAAUAUGGUGAUUUAGAAGUAGAUUCCAAUCCUAGUCUGAUGCUUAAGCAUAACUUGAAAGCAUUUCAUUACAUCCAAUAGCUGUCAGAGAAGAAUCUUGAUUUGCAGCUUUGGUCUUAAUCUUUCAAUUGGCUCUGAGGAGUUCCGAAACAGCUUUUGGUUGCCUAUCCAAUGCAUGGUUAAGGAGGUGUUAGCAAACAUUUAUAUUUACAUUUAUUCACCAUUUUUGAAUGCUGAUAUGAUGGAAUAAAAAGCUAAUUUAAUUUUCUUUGAAAAAUCCUUAGCACUGAUUUCCUUUAAAAGGAAAUCUCUUCAAGCAGCUUGCCCACAGCAAGACCAGAAGCUCCUCUCCACAUUAUUUUACUGGAACUUAGACAUCUCUGUGACCUACAUGUCCUGCACAUCCUCAAGACUCUCAGUCAUCAUAAAAAGCUUUUUUUUUUCCUCUUUCUUUCUUUCUUUCUUUCUUUCUUUCUUUCUUUCUUUCUUUCUUUCUUUCUUUCUUUCUUUCUUUCUUUCUUUCUUUCUUUCUUUCUUUCUUUCUUUCUUUCUUUCUUUCUUUCUUUCUUUCUUUCUUUCUUUCUUUCUUUCUUUCUUUCUUUCUUUCUUUCUUUCUUUCUUUCUUUCUUUCUUUUCUUUUUUCCUCCACAGAUUAAAGCUGGAAUAAUUGAAAUAUUAUGAAACUUCUUUUCCCUGGCAUGGAAACCUUUUUCAUAUUUUACAGAAGUAAAAUGCCUGAUGUUUUGAGAUAAGUGUCAAGCAGCAUCAGUUUGUUUCUAACACAGCUCCUAGCUGUGCCAUUAUCUCCUGAAGUUGAAUUUCUAGCUUUUCUCCACUUUAAACUGGCAGCUGCAAAACUGUCCUCCUCCCAGCACAGUUCUGACCCCAAAGCCAGCAUGCAUGGGAGGAUCCAUGCAGCAUUAGAUCUUUGUUUUCCUUCUGGAGAUAGCAGCAGUUCAAAGUUCACACGCUCCGGAGAACAAAGAAAAUUCACCGCUGCUUUUAAAACCUUAAAAGCAGCCAUGCCCUUCUUUAGUGCUGGCCCAGGAAAGGGGCUCUCCAAGAUGUACAGCAUGUAUCAGGUUCUAUUUUCUCGAAGUACAGAUGUCUGCUGGCAUUCUCUCUAUAGGCUUUGAACAAAUUAUCUUCUAAAACAACAUUGUUCUCAGAGAGGCAGAGUGCUUGCUUCCAGCACUGAUAAUUGUCAGCACAAGCAUUCUGUUGAGGUAUGGUCUCACCUAUGGCCUCUGUGCAAGGGGCUUGGUGAUUCACCGAGACUUGCCUGCUCCCAGUGUGGCUGCCGCUCCCUCUGUGCUGAGUAACACCCUGCAGCAGCACCAGGCAGCGGCUGGGGCAGAGGACAAGGGCAUGCUUUGGAUCAGCAGAGUCAGGCUCUGCCUCUUAAAAUAGCAGAGGUGAUCCUACUGUUGCCGUUGAAAACAGCCAGGCUGCAGAACACACCAGGUGCGGCAGCUGCUGCGGUGAGUAAUCCUGCUGAGCUGUGGGUCUGGCCGGGCUGUGACGGCCUGCACCAGAUUCCUGCCUUUAUCACGGGCGUUUUGUUACUGUCUGACAGCGCUGAAAUACAAGGCCUUUUAUGUGUGUAGAACAAGGAGUGGCAGAACAACUCUCCUGUUGUUUCCCAGCUGCAUAGCAACCCAGCCUGCUCUAAAGGUGCCUAUAGACCUUGUUUUUCAGGGCACUGUGACUUAUCUUUCUGGAAAACUUACAUAACAGACAAUGUUUAGGCAGGUACAAGCUAUUGCUCAAGAUCCUGCUGUGCAGCUGGUAGAAAUAUUAGCCUUUUUUCUUUUUUAAGUCCAUGAACGUUCAUCAGUGCUAUAAAUAUGAAUUGUAGUUGAGAAGAAUGCUGUGAAAAAUUUCACUUGCGCUGUGGACACCGUAUCUUCUGGCCUUACUGUAAUAUACCAGGUCCAGUGUCAGCUGCUAUAGUGCACCACUACUGUGAAGGAUUUCAAGAACUGCAGAUAUAGCGUCAGGGAGUGCAGAUGGGCAAAAGAAACAUUAAGUUGGAAAUCAGCUGGGAAAACUGAGCUCUGCCACAUAAAACUAUCCUCCGAAGCAUCUACUGGGAUCCUCUGAAGCCAUCUAGUGGGAAAGAACAAUACAGAGAAUGAUUACUUGAGGAAAUUGUACUAUAAUUCCAGUGGAAUGUGAGAAAAAAAAAUCUGCUGUGCAAACUUAAAACAAAGUAUCUUAACCAUUUUGACACACAAAAUAGUUUUACCUUGGGAUGCCCUGACUUUUUAAGUUCUUCUUCUUUUUUUUUUUUUUUCCUCUGAAAGAAAACUAAAAAUGGAUACCGUUUGCACAAACCUUCAGUUUUAAAGAAAACUACAUUUUCCACUGAUUGAUGAAAAAAAAUCCCAACUCAGUCUACUCAAAAUAUGAUGUUUCAAACGAUCCUUUAUUGGAUUUUUUCAGUCAUUCAGAAAUUUUUACAAGCGAAACUCUAGUAUUUUUAUUUAUGAAAACACAAUUACACUGCACUAUUACUUGUACUUUAAAUAGAAUGAAAAUGCAUUUGGUUACUCACUAGGAAAGAAUAUUUGAACUACGCAGUUGUAUUAAUUCCAGCAAAAUUGUAGGCACUUUUGGAUUUUUGCUUAGAUUUAGUGGUCUUUUCGUCUUGCAAGUAGUACAAUAUGCUGCUCACAGCAGCUUGAAUAUGUUAUUUAUUACCACAAAAUCAGAGUAGAGCCAAAGGAA